rnacentral:rRNA from 1 species
AUUGAACGCUGGCGGCACGCUUUACACAUGCAAGUCGAACGGCAGCACGGACUUCGGUCUGGUGGCGAGUGGCGAACGGGCGAGUAAUACAUCGGAACGUACCCAGUAAUGGGGGAUAACUAUCCGAAAGGAUAGCUAAUACCGCAUACGCCCUACGGGGGAAAGAGGGGGAUCGCAAGACCUCUUGUUAUUGGAGCGGCCGACGGCUGAUUAGCUAGUUGGUAGGGUAAAGGCCUACCAAGGCAACGAUCAGUAGCGGGUCUUAGAGGACGAUCCGCCACACUGGAACUGAGACACGGUCCAGACUCCUACGGGAGGCAGCAGUGGGGAAUCUUGGACAAUGGGCGCAAGCCUGAUCCAGCAAUGCCGCGUGCGUGAAGAAGGCCUUCGGGUUGUAAAGCGCUUUUGUCAGGGAGCAAAUCCUUGUGGCUAAUACCCACCGGGGAUGAGAGUACCUGAAGAAUAAGGACCGGCUAACUACGUGCCAGCAGCCGCAGUAACAC